GCCUGGCAAGCUCAGUCGGUAGAGCAUGAGACUAUUAAUCUCAGGAUAAUGGGUUCAUGUCCCACGUUGGGCA
rnacentral:tRNA from 2 species